AUUGAACGCUGGCGGCAGGCCUAACACAUGCAAGUCGAGCGGAUGAAGAGAGCUUGCUCUCUGAUUCAGCGGCGGACGGGUGAGUAAUGCCUAGGAAUCUGCCUGGUAGUGGGGGACAACGUUUCGAAAGGAACGCUAAUACCGCAUACGUCCUACGGGAGAAAGCAGGGGACCUUCGGGCCUUGCGCUAUCAGAUGAGCCUAGGUCGGAUUAGCUAGUUGGUGAGGUAAUGGCUCACCAAGGCGACGAUCCGUAACUGGUCUGAGAGGAUGAUCAGUCACACUGGAACUGAGACACGGUCCAGACUCCUACGGGAGGCAGCAGUGGGGAAUAUUGGACAAUGGGCGAAAGCCUGAUCCAGCCAUGCCGCGUGUGUGAAGAAGGUCUUCGGAUUGUAAAGCACUUUAAGUUGGGUAGGAAGGGUAGUAACCUAAUACGUUGCUACUUUGACGUUACCGACAGAAUAAGCAACCGGCUAAACUUCGUG
rnacentral:rRNA from 1 species